AAACUAACUAGGAUGCCUUCAGUAACGGCGAGCGAAGCAGGCAUAGCUCAAAUUUGUAAUCUGGCGUCUUUGACGUCCGAGUUGUAUUUUCUAGAAGCGAGUUCGGCGACAGCUCCUACCCAAGUCCGUUGGAACGCGGCGUCAUGGAGGGUGAGAAUCCCGUGAAUGGUAGGAUGUCUGCUGCUAUGUGAACCGCCUUCGAAGAGUCGAGUUGUUUGGGAAUGCAGCUCUAAAUGGGAGGUAAAUUUCUUCUAAAGCUAAAUAUUGGCCAGAGACCGAUAGCGAACAAGUAGAGUGAUCGAAAGAUGAAAAGAACUUUGAAAAGAGAGUUAAACAGUACGUGAAAUUGUUGAAAGGGAAGCGCUUGAGAUCAGACUUCCUGUCUGGACUGUCCUUGCUUCUGCAUGGGUCAACAGUCCAGGCGUGGAGGCCAGCAUCAGUUUUGACGGCCGGAUAAAGGCCUUGGGAAGGUAGCUCCUCUCGGGGAGUGUUAUAGCCCAGGGUGUAAUACGGCCAGUUGGGACUGAGGACCGCGGCUUUGCCUAGGAUGCUGGCGUAAUGGUCUUAAGCGAC
rnacentral:rRNA from 1 species